rnacentral:rRNA from 1 species
CAGUGGGGAAUCUUGGACAUGGGGGCAACCCUGAUCCAGCGACGCCGCGUGGGUGAUGAAGGCCUUCGGGUUGUAAAGCCCUUUCACCGGGGACGAUGAUGACGGUACCCGGAGAAGAAGCACCGGCUAACUCCGUGCCAGCAGCCGCGGUAAGACGGAGGGUGCUAGCGUUGUUCGGAAUCACUGGGCGUAAAGGGCGCGUAGGCGGCGCCGCAAGUCGGCUGUGAAAGCCCGGGGCUCAACCCCGGAGGUGCAGCCGAGACUGUGGUGCUGGAGGCCGGAAGAGGAGGGUGGAAUACCCAGUGUAGAGGUGAAAUUCGUAGAUAUUGGGUGGAACACCGGUGGCGAAAGCGGCUCUCUGGUCCGGACCUGACGCUGAGGCGCGAAAGCGUGGGGAGCAAACAGGAUUAGUUACCCUGGUAGUCCACGCCCUAAACGAUGUGAGCUAGGCGUCGGGGGGCUUGCCCUUCGGUGCCGCAGCUAACGCAUUAAGCUCACCGCCUGGGGAGUACGGCCGCAAGGUUA